UACGGAGGAUGCGAGCGUUAUCCGGAUUUAUUGGGUUUAAAGGGUGCGUAGGCGGAUCGAUAAAUCAGUGGUGAAACCCUGCAGCUUAACUGUAGACUUGCCGUUGAUACUGUUGGUCUUGAGUGUGGUCAAGGUAGGCGGAAUGUGUAAUGUAGCGGUGAAAUGCUUAGAUAUUACACAGAACACCGAUUGCGAAGGCAGCUUACUGGGCCAUUACUGACGCUGAUGCACGAAAGCGUGGGGAUCGAACAGG
rnacentral:rRNA from 1 species